GAUGAACGCUGGCGGCGUGCCUAAUACAUGCAAGUCGAGCGAACAGACGAGGAGCUUGCUCCUCUGAUGUUAGCGGCGGACGGGUGAGUAACACGUGGAUAACCUACAUAUAAGACUGGGAUAACUUCGGGAAACCGGAGCUAAUACCGGAUAAAAUGUUGAAACGCAUGGUUCAACAGUGAAAGACGGUGUUGCUGUCACAUAUAGAUGGAUCCGCGCCUCAUUAGCUAUUUGGUUAGGUAACGGCAUACCAAGGCAACGAUGCGCAUCCCGCCUGAGGGGAUAACCAGCCACACUGGAUCUAGGACAGUCACCAGAAACCUAAGGGAGGAAGCAGGAGAGAAGGUUCGGGAAUAGGCCGAAGCCUUACGAAGCAACGCCGGGUGUGUGAAGAAGGGCUUCGGAGCGUAAAGCUCUGUUAUUAGGGAAGAACAAAUGUGUAAGUGACAAAGCACAUGUUGAAUAUACCUGGUCAGAGAGCGAAUGCUAACUACGUG
rnacentral:rRNA from 1 species